rnacentral:rRNA from 1 species
UACGUAGGGGGCAAGCGUUGUCCGGAAUCAUUGGGCGUAAAGAGCGUGUAGGCGGCCAGAAAAGUCCGCUGUGAAAACUCGAGGCUCAACUUCGAGCUGUCGGUGGAAACUUUCUGGCUAGAGUCCGGAAGAGGAGAAUGGAAUUCCUGGUGUAGCGGUGAAAUGCGCAGAUAUCAGGAGGAACACCGAUUGCGAAGGCAGCUCACUACACGAAUAUUGACACUGAGGCACGAAAGCGUGGGGAUCAAACAGG